UACGAAGGGGGCUAGCGUUGUUCGGAAUUGCUGGGCGUAAAGCGUGCGCAGGCGGCUUCUCAAGUCAGGGGUGAAAGCCCAGAGCUCAACUCUGGAAUUGCCUUUGAGACUGAGUGGCUUGAGUACGGGAGAGGUGAGUGGAAUUCCCAGUGUAGAGGUGAAAUUCGUAGAUAUUGGGAAGAACACCGGUGGCGAAGGCGGCUCACUGGCCCGUAACUGACGCUCAUGCACGACAGCGUGGGGAUCAAACAGG
rnacentral:rRNA from 1 species